UUCAUAUUUGUUAUUUUAUAUAAAAGUAUAUAUUAUUGGCAUAUGGUUAAGUUCAAGUUUAUUUUUUUGUUCCUUAAAAAAGUUAAAUUUAAAAGUUGAAUAUAAAGAAAGUUUAAUAUGGACAUAUACAUAUAUAUUUGUAUUCUCUUGUUAAUAAAUUUUAUUAUUUAUUAUUAAUAUAAGAAAUUCUUGGCAUAUGAGAAUAAAACAUUGUCCAUAUUAAAUUAAUAUAAAACAUGCAUCACGUGAUAUUUGUUAUUUCGUUGUUUCAAAUUAUAAGGUAAUGUAUAUAAUGAAUGUACACAUAAUAUGUAUAAUUAUAUAUAUAUAUAUAUAUAUAUAUAUAUAUUAUAUAUAUAGAAAUGUUGUGCAUAAGGUAUUCAUAUAUUUCUUGAAAAAUAUGUAUACCUUCCUUUUUAUUGUUUAACAUUAUAAUUUUUUUUAUGUAACUUCAUUUUUUUUUUUUUAAAUUCAAUGGAAAAAUAAAAUAAUUGUAAAAAUAUAGAGAUGAUGUUCUAUCAAACGAUAUAAUAAGCAUAUCACAUAUAAAUUAUUAUGUUUGUCAUAUAAAUUGUUAUGUAUGAAAUAUUAAAUAUAUUGUAUAUAUAUAUAUAUAUAUAAUAUAACCUUUAAAAUAUAUACAUUUUUUAAAUAAAUAAUAUACAUAUUACUACAUAUAUAGAAUUUUAUUUAAAAAAAUAAUUUCCAUAUCGCAAUAUUUUUUUUUUACACACAAAGUAAUAUGCACUUCCAAUGAUAUAUAUAAUAUAUAUAACAUAUUUUAUUUAUGUACAUUUUAUAUAUAUAUAUAUAUAUAUAUAUAUAUAUAUAUAUAUAUUUUAACAAAAUGUAAAAAUACUAUAAUUAACAAAAAAAAAAAAAAAAAAAAAAAAAAAAAAUUUAGUUUUUUUUUAUUUGUUCUUUAUUUUUCGUUAUUAUUUUUUUUCUCUCCAAUUUUUUUUUCUUUUAUCUUUUUUUUUUUUUUUUUUUUUUUUUUUUUUUUUUUUUUUUUUUUUUUUUUUUUGUUUUGGGGUUUUUUAUUUUUUCCCUAAUGUUUUUUUUUUUUUUUUUUAUAAAUAAAUAAGAAAUAAAAAAGAAAAUAGAAGAAAAAAAAUAAAA